UACGUAGGGGGCAAGCGUUAUCCGGAAUCACUGGGUGUAAAGGGUGCGUAGGCGGUAGGGCAAGUCAGAUGUGAAAGCCCGUGGCUCAACCACGGGACUGCAUUUGAAACUGCUUUACUAGAGUGCAGGAGAGGAAAGCGGAAUUCCUAGUGUAGCGGUGAAAUGCGUAGAUAUUAGGAAGAACACCAGUGGCGAAGGCGGCUUUCUGGACUGUAACUGACGCUGAGGCACGAAAGCGUGGGGAGCGAACAGGAUUAGAUACCCUGGUAGUCCACGCCGUAAACGAUGAGUGCUAGGUGUCGGGGCCGACAGGUCUCGGUGCUGAAGUUAACGCAUUAAGCACUCCACCUGGGGAGUACGAUCGCAAGAUUGAA
rnacentral:rRNA from 1 species